rnacentral:lncRNA from 1 species
CCUUGCUUCCCUGACCUCCUCUCACCUCCCUUUUUUGUAUUCCAGUUCAAUUGGUUAAUUCAGCAAUUCCUUUCCCUCUUUGUUUUUGUCUUAGUCCUUUAACUUAAUAUAUUAUAGCUUUAGAUUCUCACCUAUUAACAAUCCAUUUUUACAUACACCUUUAUGACAUUGCUGCUAAAACCACUUAACUUCAUUCUGACAUCAUUCUAACAUUCAUUAAUUUUGCAAUAUUUCUGUAAAUAGUCUUUAAAUUUCUUCCAAUCUUCUUCCACUGACUCUUCUCCCUGGUCUCGGAUUCUGCCAGUCAUUUCCGCCAGUUCCAUGUAGUCCAUCACCUUCAUCUGCCAUUCUUCCAGAGUGGGUAGAUCUUGUGUCUUCCAAUACUUUGCAAUAAGUAUUCUUGCUGCUGUUGUGGCAUACAUAAAGAAAGUUCUAUUGACUUCACUUUCCAAGAUGUCUGGCUCAAGGUCAGCAACCACACUACCUGGGGUGUACGAGACAUCCAUAUAUUUCUGCUAUAAUUCCUCUGUGUAUUCUUGCCACCUCUUCUUGAUGUCUUCUGCUUCUGUUAGGUCCUUACCACUUUUGUCCUUUAUGAUGGUAAUCUUUGUACGAAAUGUUCCUUUCACAUCUCCAAUUUUCUUGAACAAAUCUCUGGUUCUUCCCAUUCUGUUGUUUUCCUCUAUUUCUUUGCAUUGCUCGUUUAAGAAGGCCUUCUUGUGUCUCCUUGCUAUUUUUGGGAAAUCUGCAUUCAAUUUCCUGUAUCUUUCACUAUCUCCCUCGCAUUUUGCUUGCCUUCUCUCCCCCGCUAUUUGUAAGGCCUCGUUGGACAGCCAUUUUGCUUUCUUGCAUUUCCUUUUCACUGGGAUGGUUUUCGUUGCUGCCUCCUGUAUAAUGUUGUGAGCCUCCAUCCAUAGUUCUUCAGGCACUCUGUCCACCAAAUCUAAAUCCUUAAACCUGCUCCUCACUUCCACUGUGUAUUCAUAAGGGAUUUGAUUUAGAUUGUAUCUUACCGGCCCAGUAGUUUUUCCUACUUUCUUCAGUUUAAGCUUUAAUUUAGCUAUAAGAAGCUGAUGAUCUGAGCCACAGUCAGCUCCAGGUCUUGUUUUUGCAGACUGUAUAGAGCUUCUCCAUCUUUGGCUGCAGAGAAUAUAAUCAAUCUGAUUUUGAUGCUGCCCAUCUGGUGAUGUCCAUGUGUAGAGUCGUCUCUUGUGUUGUUAGGAAAGCGUGUUUGUGAUGACCAGCUUGUUCUCUUGACAGAACUCUAUUAGCCUUUGCCCUGCUUCGUUUUGAUCUCCAUGGCCAAACUUGCCAGUUGUUCCUUUUAUCUCUUGAUUCCCUACUUUAGCAUUCCAAUCCCCUAUAAUGAGAAGAACAUCCUUCUUUGGUGUCAUUUCUAGAAGAUGUUGUAAGUCUUCAUAGAACUGGUCAAUUUCAGUUUCUUCAGCACCAGUAGUUGGUGCAUAAACUUGGAUUACUGUGAUAUUAAAAGGUCUGCCUUGGAUUCGUAUUGAGAUCAUUCUAUCAUUUUUGAGAUUGCAUCCCAGUACAGCUUUUGCCACUCUUUUGUUGACUAUGAGGGCCACUUCAUUUCUUCUAUGGGAGUCUUGCCCGCAGUAGUAGAUAUGAUGAUCAUCCAAACUGAAUUCACCUAUUUCCACCCAUUUUAGUUCACUGAUGUCAAUAUUUAUUCUUGCCAUCUCAUUUUUUACCACAUCGAGCUUACCACUGUACAUGGAUCUUACAUUCCAGGUUCCUAUGCAAUAUUUUUCUUCACAGCAUUGGACUUUCCUUUCGCUUCCAGGCAUAUCCGCAACUGAGCGUCCUUUCGGCUUUGGCCCAGCCGCUUCAUCAGCUCUGAAUCUACUUGUCCUUGUCCUCCGCUCUUCCUCAGUAGCAUGUUGGACGCCUUCCGACCUGAGGGGCUCAUCUUCCAGCGUCAUAACAACAACAACAACAACAACAACAACAACAACAACAACAACAGUAUUUCUAUGCCACUCAUCUCCUCUGGGCCUCGGAGCUCCUCCUACCUUCAGAGUUCCUUCUCAUGGUCACUGAUGGGCACACUUGAUUCUAUGACUGGACUACUGAUGCUGAAGAACUGCCCAGCCCAGCUUCAGGUCCCCCCCUUCUAGGACCCACCGCUCUCAACUGACUCUCAACUGCCUCCCCCCAACAUUCACUCUUCCUUUCCAAGCCUCCUCCAACCUUCCGUCUCCACCAGAAUUCCACUCUCUCUCUUCCCCCUCCCUCCUUGCUGGACAUUCACUUGGGAAUUCUAAUAGAAUCGCCUUCAUUACCCUAUUGCAAAAAGAGAGGAAGAGGUUACAGAUGGGAAAUGUCCGGGAAUCCCAAAGUCUAAACUCACAAACCCUGGCUGAUGUCUCACAGGAGGACUUAGGAUACACCCCGGACCUCAACCUCCCUGUGUCAAAUUAAAGAUUGUAAGCCCCUUGGGGCAAGAACCUCUGAAGGGUCACAUGCAGUGAUGGUGCAAACAGAUAAUACAAAAUAAAUCUCACUGCACUCCUGACCCGUGCAAGAUGAAGCCCGCCAGACGCCUUUCCCUUAAAACCAAAGCUGUGUACACACGAUCCAUAUGGGGCCCCUGCAGCAUGAAAAGGGGCUAAGUCCCCAGAGCUGCAUUGCUGGGAGGCAGGGACCCGGCAAGCUAUCGACAGCUGUCAACAAGUCAAGCCAGGGAGCCAAGCCUCAUGCACCAGUGAUG